rnacentral:rRNA from 1 species
UACGUAGGGUGCAGGCGUUAAUCGGAAUUACUGGGCGUAAAGCGUGCGCAGGCGGUUUGCUAAGACAGGUGUGAAAUCCCCGGGCUUAACCUGGGAACUGCGCUUGUAACUGGCAAGCUGGAGUGUGGCAGAGGGGGGUGGAAUUCCACGUGUAGCAGUGAAAUGCGUAGAUAUCUGGAGGAACACCGGUGGCGAAGGCGGCAUCCUGGACCAACACUGACGCUGAGGAGCGAAAGCCAGGGGAGCAAACGGG